rnacentral:rRNA from 1 species
UACGAAGGGGGCUAGCGUUGUUCGGAAUUACUGGGCGUAAAGGGCGCGUAGGCGGAUAGUUUAGUCAGAGGUGAAAGCCCAGGGCUCAACCCUGGAAUUGCCUUUGAUACUGGCUAUCUUGAGUUCGGGAGAGGUGAGUGGAACUCCGAGUGUAGAGGUGAAAUUCGUAGAUAUUCGGAAGAACACCAGUGGCGAAGGCGACUCACUGGCCCGAUACUGACGCUGAGGCGCGAAAGCGUGGGGAGCAAACAGG